rnacentral:rRNA from 1 species
UAAGACGGGGGGGGCGAGCGUUGUUCGGAAUUACUGGGCGUAAAGGGCGCGCAGGCGGCCUGGGAAGUCUUGGGUGAAAGCCCCCAGCUCAACUGGGGAAUGGCCUGAGAAACCACUAGGCUGGAGUGCUGGAGAGGGAAGCGGAAUUCCCGGUGGAGCGGUGAAAUGCGUAGAUAUCGGGAGGAACACCAGAGGCGAAGGCGGCUUCCUGGACAGACACUGACGCUGAGGCGCGAAAGCUAGGGGAGCAAACGGGAUUAGAUACCCCGGUAGUCCUAGCUGUAAACGAUGGGUACUAGAUGUGGGGGGUAAUUGAAAGUCCCUCCGUGUCGCCGAUAACUCAAUAAGUACCCCGCCUGGGGAGUACGGCCGCAAGGCUG